rnacentral:rRNA from 1 species
GAUGAACGCUGGCGGCGUGCCUAAUACAUGCAAGUCGAGGGAACAGACGAGGAGCUUGCUCCUCUGACGUUAGCGGCGGACGGGUGAGUAACACGUGGAUAACCUACCUAUAAGACUGGGAUAACUUCGGGAAACCGGAGCUAAUACCGGAUAAUAUAUUGAACCGCAUGGUUCAAUAGUGAAAGACGGUUUUGCUGUCACUUAUAGAUGGAUCCGCGCCGCAUUAGCUAGUUGGUAAGGUAACGGCUUACCAAGGCAACGAUGCGUAGCCGACCUGAGAGGGUGAUCGGCCACACUGGAACUGAGACACGGUCCAGACUCCUACGGGAGGCAGCAGUAGGGAAUCUUCCGCAAUGGGCGAAAGCUUGACGGAGCAACGCCGCGUGAGUGAUGAAGGUCUUCGGAUCGUAAAACUCUGUUAUUAGGGAAGAACAAAUGUGUAAGUAACUAUGCACGUCUUGACGGUACCUAAUCAGAAAGCCACGGCUAACUACGUG